CAAACUGUACGGAACAGGAGGUUAAAGGUGCUGAUUCUCCAAGGAGGGAGAUUGCUAGUAAAGCGGCUGGAAUGGCGAACCCGAGCACAAGGAGAUGAGAAAUGAGGACAAAUUGCAACCUGUACGGAACAGGAGGUUAAAGGUGCUGAUUCUCCAAGGAGGGAGAUUGCUAGUAAAGCGGCUGGAAUGGCGAACCCGAGCUCAAGGAGAUGAGAAAUGAGGACAAAUUGCCACCUGUACGGAACAGGAGGUUAAAGGUGCUGAUUCUCCAAGGAGG